UAGCUUUGUCCAAAGUCAAACUUGUCUAACUUUGACUAAGUUUAUAGAAAAAAUAAUAACAUCUAAAAUAUCAAAUAAAUGUAUUAUCAAAACAUACUUAAUGGUGGAUUGAUGAAACUAAUUUGAUACCAAAUAAAUGCACUAUCAAGACAUAUUUCAUGGUGGAUUCAAUGAAACUAAUUUGAUGUUGUAGAUAUUGAUGCUUUUUCCUAUAAACUUGGUCAAAGUUAGACAAGUUUGACUUGGGACAAAGCUAA
rnacentral:pre_miRNA from 1 species